rnacentral:ncRNA from 1 species
GUGCGCUGUGUUCGUGGUUGCAAGUCCAGGCCAGCUACGGGCAAAGGGAUCCACGUAAGCUGUGAGCAAGAGGCCGCAGUGAUCAUGGCGUAGUUUAGAAGUAAGUCCUCCGGAAAAUCCGGGUCAAGGCAAGUGUGGGGUCAAAGACCAGGUCGAGCGGCGCAC